AGAGAGAGAGAGAGUGUGUGUGUGUGUGUGUGUACACACACACACACACACACACACACACACACAUAUCUCUCUCUCUCU